UUAUCUAUAUCCUAGUCGUUCCGACUUCUAUUCUUAAAUUUUUCCACAAUGUCACUUGCACGUUCAGCGCUCAGAUUGGCCAGUAGUAGUCGACAGUUUACAACAUCAGGAGCAGUCCGUGCGGAGUCCGGCAAAGUCCACCCUGGCUACCAACGAAUAAAGCCAUUACAGGAACGUUUCAUCAUUGAGGAUGGCAUUCCUGUCUACGUUAAAGGAGGUGCUAUAGAUAACGUUCUUACCAAACUUACUGUGGUACUGUGUAUUGGAGCUAUGGCAUGCGAACUCAAGUAUAUCUAUGAAACCUUCAUUAAAGUUUAAUUUUAAAAAACAGGAAUCAUCUACUAGACAGUAUGUGUAGUAUGUAAUGAUGCAUUCUAUUUGUAUUUUUGUUUGAGAUUGUACUAUAAUAAAUCAGAGCAUUGCAAAUAAAAUAGUGAAAACAUU